rnacentral:sRNA from 1 species
GUGAUGAUCCUGCAGGAAGUGCAGGAGAGACCCCCGGGUGGCUUUCGAGAGAACAGGUUUUUGUACUGAUAUCGGCAGCUUCCGUGAACUUAGGUUCCAUGAUGUGCUAUUCUAUACUUGGACCGUUUUUCCCCAAAGAGGCUGAAAAGAAGGGAGCCAGCAAUACAAUUAUCGGUAUGAUCUUUGGAUGUUUUGCUUUGUUCGAGUUGCUGGCAUCCUUGGUAUUUGGAAACUAUCUUGUACAUAUUGGAGCAAAAUUUAUGUUUGUAGCAGGAAUGUUUGUCUCAGGAGGAGUUACAAUUCUCUUUGGGAUUCCUGUGACUGUGAGUGACAGAAACUUAACUCACUUUUCUGAGUCACGGAAACUUACUAGCUUCAGUAAAAAAUGUAUUGGACCGAGUUCCAGAUGGGCCAGUAUUUAUUGCUAUGUGUUUUCUAGUGAGAGUAAUGGAUGCAGUUAGCUUUGCUGCAGCAAUGACUGCAUCUUCUUC